UGGAAAUGAGGACAAAGCGCAAUUCUGAAGUUCUCUUUGAAGACUUCUAAUCCAACUCUGAUCCUAACACUGUG